AGUGAACGCUGGCGGUAGGCCUAACACAUGCAAGUCGAACGGCAGCACAGUAAGAGCUUGCUCUUACGGGUGGCGAGUGGCGGACGGGUGAGGAAUACAUCGGAAUCUACUUUUUCGUGGGGGAUAACGUAGGGAAACUUACGCUAAUACCGCAUACGACCUCCGGUUGAAAGAAGGGGACCUUCGAACCUUGCCCAAUUGAUUAAGCCGAUGUCGGAUUAGCUAGUUGGCGGGGUAAAGGCCCACCAAGGCGACGAUCCGUAGCUGGUCUGAGAGGAUGAUCAGCCACACUGGAACUGAGACACGGUCCAGACUCCUACGGGAGGCAGCAGUGGGGAAUAUUGGACAAUGGGCGCAAGCCUGAUCCAGCCAUACCGCGUGGGUGAAGAAGGCCUUCGGGUUGUAAAGCCCUUUUGUUGGGAAAGAAAAGCAGCAGGUUAAUACCCCGCUGUUCUGACGGUACCCAAAGAAUAAGCACCGGCUAACUUCGUG
rnacentral:rRNA from 1 species